ACAGCUAAACAUGUAAGUCGAAGGUUAUGGAGGCAAGAGGCUGAGAGCAUGUCCUUGAAUACUAAAAUAGGAAACCUUGAGGUUAGGGUUUGUGGUGGUGUUAGUGAGAUUAAUAUAGUGUACAGGGUAGAUGAGUCCAGUAUAGAACUGACUGUGUGUAUACCUGAUAACUAUCUAUUAUCACCUCCUACCAUUAAAGAAGGUUGAUCUCUCAUUGUGAAGGAAAUGGCUACUACAGCUUAGUUCGUUUCUUGCUAAUCAAAUGAUGGUUUCUAUAUUGGAAGGAUUAUUAUUAUGGAAGAGUAAUCUUGAUAAACUUUUGCUGGUUUGGAUGACUGCAUGAUAUGCUCAGUAUCAUUCAUGAACCUAAUUAUUCA